CCAUUUUGUACUGAAGUUGAAAGAAGUUGCUGGCCUCUCCGGAAGGUGCUGGGAGCCUUUGCUGCUCAUCCAUUUGCUGCUGGAAACAACAGAAAGUUGUGGUUUUUCCACGACAUCCUGGGCUCCAUCCUCAACUAGCGUCCAGCUGCCUCCCUUAUCUCCCGGAUUAUAUUUUUAUCAACACUGAAUUGAUACUUCAGCUGCUUUUUAGCCCUCCGUUCGAUAAUUUUUCAAGCAAUAGAGCAGAGUGUAAGCCAGCUUCCUCCUGGAGCACCAGGUGAAGCAGCCAGCUCAGCGUACUCAGACUGAAGGGUUCUGGCACUGCACAGGUUUGGCAGCAUGAAGAAAUAUCCUGUGCAAAUGUUUCUUACGAACACAGAGUUUCCCUACAGAGCACUGAGAAGAAUAGCCUGACAUACAACCAUGUUCUGAAUUAAUCCCUUGUAAAAAUGUCUUUGUUAAAUGCAACAUCUCUCAGAACUAUUGUUGGUGAAAGUACCGUGAAAUUUGCAACAGUUCUUACGCUAUAUUCCUCCGUAACUUGCAAAAUCCCACUCUCCGAGUGAAACCCAGGAUCCGUAUUGCAGCCAGGAUCCAUUUUUGUUACAGCAAAACUACAAAUCCUUUAGGAUAUGAGUUCCCAGCUGGAACUUUUUUUUUCUUUUUCUUUUAUGAACCUGGCUAUUUAGAAAAUGCCUUAAAGAGAACUCAUUAGUUUUCAUUGCGCUGUAUGCAUUUA
ensembl:lncRNA